rnacentral:lncRNA from 1 species
CCGAUUCUCGUCGACGAAGAAGAUCGGGUUCCCGGCUAGAGAAGGCUGACAAGGGAUGUAACAAUGGUGGAAAAUCGGGAUCAAGAGUGGGGCCCGCUUGAGCGCGUUUCUCGCGACCUUGAGCGCUUUUUCCGGAUCCAACGGCCUGGGACCACCGCCACCCCAGCUCUUGGACCAGAGAUUGUUGCGCGCGAUUUGGAUCGACACGGCAGCGAUGGGGAGAUCUAAGGCUGAUCGGAGG